rnacentral:lncRNA from 1 species
AUGGUGUUUCCUUAUGCCCUGUCUUGCCCUUCCCCUUCAAGAGCACAAAGGCAUGUGUGUGUAUCAAAGGAGAGGAGAAGUAAAGACGACCAGUGUUCUUGCAUGUCUUGUAUGAUUUUUCUUUGGCAAGUUAUCAGCUUUUCUUGGUGUCAUUACUUGUUUCUUGCAACGAGAUGUCUACUGUCUGCUUAAUGAGGUUUUGAAUGGCAGUCAACAUUUUUGCUUCUAAAAGAGAUGGAUGUAAAUAUUUGCACUAUUGAAAUCAAUAUUGAGUAGACUGGGAAGUAACUUGGGGUGGGG